rnacentral:lncRNA from 1 species
UAGACCUAUGGAACCAAAAGCCCUGACGGUGGAGCCUGGGAAUCUGUAUCCUCAUCAGGCACCGUCUCAGUGGUUCAGCCGUGAUCAGACAUCUGGCCAGGAUGCUGAUGUACUGGCCUUUCCACCCCAAGGGUCUUGCAGCAAACCCUGGGGUCCUGGGGCCUUCUGCCUUGGUAGCAAAGAUCUGUUGGACCAUACAGUCCUCAAUCUAGAAUGGCUCUAGAUUGAGAUUCACCUCUGGUUUUGCCAACAUGUCCUAUACCAUUUUGCCUAAAUGGACAUUCUGUAAAUAUUUGAACUAACAGCACCCUUGAGGGCAGGGCCUGUUUUUUGUUUCUUUGGGGCCACCCACUGGCUCACAGUAAGUAAUCUAUGUCUGACAGUAGAUUGAUGGAUGAGGUCACAAACCCAGGCCACAUCCCCAAAUGGAAAACAGAAGAGGAAACAGAAGCUUAUACCCAGCCUUGCUGCUUCUCAGGUGGUUUCUGGGUUCUAAGGGGUUGCAGUCUGGAAGGAACACUAAGAUCUCUCGAAAAAGAACAACACAGAGGCCCUCAAAAGCAAGAACACCUUCCUAAAUGGUUAGGAAAAUUCUCAAAGGAACAUGUUCUGGGUCUUACUUGGAAAUGUAGAUUGCCAAUUUUCCAGUAUCUUCAAUACUUAUAUAUAAAUACUUAAAUCUGCUUGACUUUGUCAGAAUAGUUGGUUACAAGCAACAGAAACAAGCUCUGGAGGAUUUGAGAAGAAAAGAAAUUGUGUAACAGUGUGACUGGGAGGAUGAAGGACCAGCCUCAGAAAAGGGCAGAAACCAUGAGAGUCUGGAGAGAGGAAGACAGCCAGGUAAAUCCACAGGGACAAGCUGAUGAGGACACCAGUCACCAGAGACUUGCACCCCCUACACCAUUGGCACUGGACCCAGUGCACCACGGCUCGAGACUCUGCCCUGUUCCACUGAAGUGUGAAAGCUUCUCCGCCAUCCCUGUUUCUUUGCACCAUUGGCUUCCAGCUCAGGGCAGGAAUCCUGGGCCUCAUGCCCACAUCCUAGCUGCAAGGGAGGUUGGAAAAUAGAGCGUCUGGUUUUGGUGGGACGCAGAUACCCAUGCAUGGGGUGGGGAAUUCCCCCAAUAUAGGAAAAGGUUCAGAUACAGGGCAGCCAAAGCAAAUGAGAAAUGUUUGCUACAGGUUCUAUAUCGUGUAUGGGAACAGGAAGUACAAAUGUGAAAGAAUAGCCGUUUCCUUUUUUUUUUUUUUUUUGCUUUUCUAAGAAAGGAACUUUGCAGAAUUUCAGUUGUACAGGUUAGCACAGCCGUGAGAUUCUUCUCCACGGGAGUUGGGGAAGUCUUAAUGAAGAGGGGGACCUCGAAGAACACAGAGGAUUGGGGCAGGAUGGAAAGGAUGGGAGGGCCCCAAGACUGGGGAAAUUACACAGAGGGAGGGGUUAGCUUGAAGCCACAGGGGGAGCAAUUGGAGACAGCCUGACCUUCCUCGGAAGCCAGUCCUCUCCAGGUUCAAGAUCCAACAUACUGACACCCAUCAUUCUCCUCAGCAUCACCCAGGAUCCUCCUGUCAUUACCUGAGAGUGACAUCUCCACUACUCCUUUGAGCCAGUAAAUGGGAAGUGCCCAGUUGUGACAGUAGAACUCUAUUACACUUAGAAUAACAAUGAGUUGAAAUGUGUUGCUACUAAUUAUUCAGUGUAAUACUGUCCUCAAAGUUCAAGGUUAAUGGGGUGGAGAGAGGUUACCCAAAAUGAAAAUAUUAUUUUUGCUUGUACAUAAUGUUUUUCAUAAGAUCUAAAAACAACUGUGGCCUCUUAGCCCAAUGGUUCCCAACAUGGACGGUCAGGGCCCUUUACCUGGAACUCCUUAGUCUGUGUCUCCUUAAAGAAAAUUCAAUAUUUGUGGAUAGUGAUUUUUAUUUAAAAAAUAGUUAAAAAAACAAUAAUGCACAACUCAUAGGGUUCUUUUGUAUUGCAUUAAUCAGUGUGUUUUGACAAAUGCAUAUACCUGUGCCAGGUGUCUGUUCACGACUAAAAGGCUCAGGGGUCACUCCAGUUGAACUGGACUAACUGGGCUGUGCAAAAUAACCACACAAGAGACACAAAUACCUUUUUGUUUGGGGUCCCUGUGAUGGCUCCUCUGACCUUAAGGGUCCGCAGAAAGAGAGAGUGAGAGCUCGCACUGACCCCCUUUUAUUGAGGAGAAGCUAUUCAAAUGAGUCAAGGAGUCAGGUUUCAGGGGGCUGAGUCUAUCUUCAUGAUUUCCACUCUCAGCAGGUUGACUGACAUCUGGGUAGGCCACACCCAAGGGCACAGUAAGAGAAGGGGACACACACAAGGCACUUCCAUGGAAGAUUCUAUCCUAAACAGGGCAAGGGGUUAUAUUACAAAGGAACAGGUGAGCAUAGCUUCACCCAUGGGGCUGUAGCAAGACACACCCAUGCAGGAGACACUGUCUCUCGAACCCAAGAAGGGUGGGGAAAGCUCUGCCACAUUUCUGCAACUGAGCGCCUCAGCACCCAGCCGGGGAGUGUAACCCAGUCACGUGUAAGGUUGGUUUCCCACAUACCUGUGUAACCCAAACCCUCAUCAGCAUACAGACUAUUCCUAUACCUUGGAGAGUUCUUGUUCCCAUGCAACCUCUACUGAUAUCUCUAAAACAAUUGCUGUUCUAACUUUUUCCUCAUCUUAUAUUAGUUUUGCCUAUUCAAGAACUUCAUAUAAAUGAAACAGUAUAGUUUCUUUUAUGUAAAGCUUUUUGCCAU